ensembl:lncRNA
AAGGUGGGCACAUGUACUUUCUGCAGAGCUGACAAAAACAUGUGGUUAUUCUAUAAUCUCUGCUUUCUCUGAAAGAAAAACAAACAGCUUUCCAACCUGACUGAUUACAGAAGAAGGCUUGAAAAGGAGAUCUAAAACCUUAAAUAUCAGAAGGUCAUUGGGAGAAUCACAAAUAUCCUCAGUUGGAAGGGGCCACAGAGUUCAUCAAAUCCAACUCCUAAAGACACGAUCUUUUCAAAAGUUACGUAACAUUAUCAGCAGAGGGGGCUCACCAGGUGGGAGACUAUGACAAGGAAGGUUAAUGUCCUGCAUUAAGUCUGACAGCAGCAGACCUGAGAGCCAAACCUCUAAGUCUCAUCUCACCAGCUCUUGUCCUACUGGACCUUUGUAUUGUGAAAAGAUGCAGUUACUUCAAGGAGUGUGGUGAGAGGAUGUGAGAAUUUGAAUGGCAGGUCUAGAAACCAUGUAGAGGGUCCCUCCUUGACAUAACAGGGACCAGCAGAAGUGAUUACCUGGGCUGCACCAUAAACACGGCACUGUGUCCUGUGUCUUUGGAGCAACUCUUGACUGACAGCAGCCUCUGUGGUUAAUUAGAGCUGUGGUUCUGGUCUGUUGCUAACAUCCCUGGUGAGAGAUUUCAUAAAUAAGUCUGACCUUAAAGUCAGCUCUGCACUUUUGGACAAUUUUUUUUGUUAUGUCAUUUCUCCGAAGUUGCUUUACCUGUUUAAGGUGUCUCACACAGCUUUUUUCGUCCUGCACUGUUAGACUCUCCUUUCUAGUAAGCAGCUGUGUUAAAGUGUCUUGGUUUGAACCUUUUACUGUGCACCAGGAACUGAGCGUUCCAUACCAUGUAUGCUAGCUAGAGUCACAGCUGAAGGUGGAGUUAUCUGAAGCUGCAAGGUGACUCUUUGGAAGGAGGUGCUGAGCAUAAUUUUCCAAAAGUGGGACAUAGGUACUGAGGAUGUUUCACCAGCUCCUCAUAAGAUAAAUGUUUCGUUAUCCAUUCUUGACUCCUAUUGGAGACACUAUAUCUCAUAUUAGAUACCAGGCCAGUCUCUACAUUCUCCUAUCCUCUUAGCUGGUCUUCUUCCUUGGUUUAAUCACCUUAGGCCUAUUAUCAAUGGAAAUUCUAAAUCAAUGAAAGAAUAAGAGUGAAUAAAGACUAGGAGUUUAGAAAACGUGAGAAAAGGCUCACCUGAAGUAAAUGGUGAAAGGGAGUAGAACUGUGCCAUAGGACUCAUGUAUCUGACACUGGUCAGGAAAGAAAUGAAGGGUGGAAGUAGGGCUAACUGGGGAGGCAACUGACAAAGCAUUCAAGUUUGUAUGGUUAUUUUUGGGAUGGACAUUUGCAGAAAAGACAAGUAGAAGU